CAAUAGCGUAUAUUAAAGUUGUUGCAGUUAGAACGCUCGUAGUCGGAUUUCGGGGCAGUCCGACCGGUCUGCCGAUGGGUAUGCACUGGCCGGAGUGUCCUUUUUGCCGGAGACCGUGCCUACUCUUAACUGAGCGGGGGCGGGAGACGGCACUUUUACUUUGAAAAAAUCAGAGUGUUUCAAGCAGGCAGCUCGCUCUUGCAUGGAUUAGCAUGGGAUAAUGAAAUAGGACUUUGGUGCUAUUUUGUUGGUUUCGAACACCGAAGUAAUGAUGAGAAGGGACAGUCAGGGGCACUCGUAUUCCGCAGAGAGAGGUGAAAUUCUCAGACCCGCGGAAGACGAACCACUGCGAAAGCAUUUGCCAGGGAUGUUUUCACUGA
rnacentral:rRNA from 1 species